AAUUUUUGUUCUCCCCUAAUGAGUUUCCAGUUAUUUCUACAUUAAACUUCUUUAUUGCAUCCACUAUAUAUCUCAUCCUGUCUUUAGUGAUUUGCUUCCUUUGUCUUUCUGUGCUUUGUUCCUGAAUAUUUUCUACCUUCCUCAUUGUUUCUUUCUUCAGCUAUAUCUAAUCUGUAGUUAGACCCUUAUACACAGUUCUUAACUUUGUUGCAUUUUUUAGUUUUAAAAUUUCCUUUUAAAAUAGCUUUGAGUUAUUUGAAACAAAUUGAAAGUUUUAUCCUGGCACAUAUGAAGAAUAGCUAUUUUAUAUGCCAUGCCUUAUAGCUCAGUUUUUUGGACUCCAAAUAAAUUGUUCUUUUGUUGGUUUUCUUGUUUUCUAAUAUGCUUGGUGGUUUUAAUAUUAAAGCCAGACACUGUAUAUGAGAAACAUUAAAUAAUUUGAACUCUAGAACACAAAGAAUAUACAAAUCAACGUAACAUUAGUACAUUCUGUACAGAUGGAGUCACCAGAGAGUUUUAAAAAUUACUGCUGCUUGAACUCCAUACUCAAAGAUUAUGACUCAGUUGUUCUGGAGUUGGACCUGGGCAUUAGUAUUUUGCAAAACAUUCUUCAGUGAUUCUACUGAGUAACAGGAUUGAAUCCAACCCGACAUAAACUAUGAUAAAAAUAGUACAGAAAGGGAAAAUAAAUCACUUAAUCUCACUUGUGAAUAUAGCUGCAAAAUAAUAUAUAUAAUUCAACUGUUAUAAAAAUUAGGCUUUAACUAAAUAGGCUUUAUUGCAGUAACACUUGAAUGAUUUCCUCACAGAAAGUUUGUGGGUAUAAUUUACUACAUUUCCUAUGGAGAAAACUCAUAGGAACAUAUCAUUAGAUGUUGAAAAUAUAACAACAGGAUAAAAAUAUUUUAAUAGGAAUGGAAAGAAAUUACUGAAAUGUAAUAAAGUUUGUUUGGUAUAUAUUAAUAAUGCUUACCAAUAUCUGGUUCCUGGCAUACAGAUGGUUAUAUUUCCCAGACCCUUUGCAGGGAACAUGGUGGAGUCACUUGAGUAGUUUGUUAAUGGGCUGUGCUGCAGCAUGGGUGAGUGGGUCUGAGAACAUUGUGUGCUUGUCUUGCACCGGGGCUGUCCAGAAGGCUUUGUGUUGUGAUGACAGAGAGAGGAUUGAAACAGCAUACUUUAUGUCACUUCGUGGAGAACAGCAUGACUAGAGGUUGGCCAGACACACAGCUGGCUUGUGGGAGUUAGAAAUAAAUGUGUUAAGUCCUUGAGAUUUUGGAGUUGUUUGUUACUACAGCACCACCUCCUUUGACCUGAGGUUUUUGGAAAGCUUUUACAGCAAAGGUCCAGACAGUAAAUGUUUUAGACAACAUGGGUCAUAUGGUCUCUGUCACAAUUACUUCAUACUUCCAUUGUUGCAGAAAGUAACCAUAGGAAAUACAUAUGUGAAGCAUGGAUAUGUUCCAGUAAAACUUUAUUUACAAAAGCAGGUGACAAAUUUAGUCCACAGAGCAUGGUUUGCUGACCUGAGUUCUUGGCUUAUACUUUUGCUUACUCAUAUCUCAUUAUAAGUAUAAUUCUAAGUAAUAAAAUCCUAGAGCAUUUCAAUUGCAAAUAGAAACAAGCAGAGUUGUACCCACUAUUGACACUUAAUAACACUACUUUAGAGGGUAUAGGUAAUGCAAUAGGAUGUAAAUUUGAAAUAAUUGGUAUAAAUAUUGGACAAACAUUUUUGCUGAUAAAAUAAUCACAUACCCAGAAAAUACAGGAAACACUAGUAAAAAUGGGAUUUAUAGGAUAAUUUGGUAAAAUGACUGAAUAAGAUAGAUAUACCAGAUCUGUCUGGGAAAAGUCCAACUAUUGUUAAUAUAAUAAGAAUGGUUUGCAUGACAUCAAUGUAACCUGGCAGCCAAGAAGAGGGGACUGGAAUGCACAUGUGUGAACAAUGAUGACUUCACUAUUCUAGUCAGUUGGAGCAGUAGUCACUAUUGAGUGAGCAUGUGUACUUGUGUGGCUGUCACAUUCAAAAUGAGUGAGCGAGUAGAGCACCAAAUCUGCAUCUAAUUUUGCAUUAAGCUUGAACAUUCCUCUGCAGAAACUAUUUGGAUGAUUCAGAAGGCGGCAGUUAUGCACAACUGGUGAUU